rnacentral:pre_miRNA from 1 species
GGGGGGAGCGCCGGAUCUUGGGCAGUGUCCCUGGUGCCCUGUGCUCCCGGGCCUGUGCUGCUGGAAUCAAGCUCUGGGUCUGGCAGCUCUCU